rnacentral:rRNA from 1 species
AGUGAACGCUGGCGGUAGGCCUAACACAUGCAAGUCGAACGGCAGCACAGUAAGAGCUUGCUCUUACGGGUGGCGAGUGGCGGACGGGUGAGGAAUACAUCGGAAUCUACUUUUUCGUGGGGGAUAACGUAGGGAAACUUACGCUAAUACCGCAUACGACCUACGGGUGAAAGCAGGGGAUCUUCGGACCUUGCGCGAUUGAAUGAGCCGAUGUCGGAUUAGCUAGUUGGCGGGGUAAAGGCCCACCAAGGCGACGAUCCGUAGCUGGUCUGAGAGGAUGAUCAGCCAAACUGGAACGGAGAAACGGUCCAGACUCCUACGGGGGGCAGGAGUGGGGAAUAUUGGACAAGGGGGGCAAGCCUGAUCCAGCCCUCCCGGGUGGGGGAAAAAGGCCUUCGGGUUUUAAAGCCCUUUUGUUGGGAAAAAAAAGCAGCAGGUUAAUACCCCGCUGUUCUGACGGUACCCAAAGAAUAAGCACCGGCUAACUUCGU